AGCGUUUGAUCAUGGCUCAGAUUGAACGCUGGCGGAAUGCUUUACACAUGCAAGUCGAACGGCAGCACGGACUUCGGUCUGGUGGCGAGUGGCGAACGGGUGAGUAAUGUAUCGGAACGUAUCCAGUAAUGGGGGAUAACUAAUCGAAAGGUUGGCUAAUACCGCAUACGCCCUACGGGGGAAAGCAGGGGAUCUUCGGACCUUGCGUUAAUGGAGCGGCCGAUAUCUGAUUAGCUAGUUGGUGAGGUAAGAGCUCACCAAGGCGACGAUCAGUAGCUGGUCUGAGAGGACGACCAGCCACACUGGAACUGAGACACGGUCCAGACUCCUACGGGAGGCAGCAGUGGGGAAUUUUGGACAAUGGGCGCAAGCCUGAUCCAGCCAUUCCGCGUGAGUGAAGAAGGCCUUCGGGUUGUAAAGCUCUUUCGCAAGGGAAGAAACGAUGCAGACGAAUAAUCUGUGUUAAUGACGGUACCUUGAUAAGAAGCACCGGCUAACUACGUGCCAGCAGCCGCGGUAAUACGUAGGGUGCAAGCGUUAAUCGGAAUUACUGGGCGUAAAGCGUGCGCA
rnacentral:rRNA from 1 species